rnacentral:rRNA from 1 species
GCAUCAUACUGUGAACUGCGAAUGGCUCAUUAAAUCAGUUAUCGUUUAUUUGAUAGUACCUUUACCUGGAUAACCGUGGUAAUUCUAGAGCUAAUACAUGCUAAAAACCUCGACUUCGGAAGGGGUGUAUUUAUUAKAUAAAAAACCAAUGCCCUUCGGGGCUCCUUGGUGAUUCAUAAUAACUUAACGAAUCGCAUGGCCUUGCGCCGGCGAUGGUUCAUUCAAAUUUCUGCCCUAUCAACUUUCGAUGGUAGGAUAGUGGCCUACCAUGGUCUUAACGGGUAACGGGGAAUUAGGGUUCUAUUCCGGAGAGGGAGCCUGAGAAACGGCUACCACAUCCAAGGAAGGCAGCAGGCGCGCAAAUUACCCAAUCCCAAUACGGGGAGGUAGUGACAAUAAAUACUGAUACGGGGCUCUUUCGGGUCUCGUAAUUGGAAUGAGUACAAUCUAAAUCCCUUAACGAGGAACAAUUGGAGGGCAAGUCUGGUGCCAGCAGCCGCGGUAAUUCCAGCUCCAAUAGCGUAUAUUAAAGUUGUUGCCGUUAAAAAGCUCGUAGUUGAACCUUGGACCUGGCUGAUCUGUCCUCCUAAUCGAGCGCACGGAUUCGGUCGGGUCUUUCCUUCUGGGGAGCCCUAUGCCCUUCACUGGGUGUAGUGGGGAACCAGGACUUUUACCUUGAAAAAAUUAGAGUGUUCAAAGCAGGCCUUUGCUCGAAUACAUUAGCAUGGAAUAAUAGAAUAGGACAUCGGUUCUAUUUUGUUGGUUUCUAGGACCGCUGUAAUGAUUAAUAGGGAUAGUCGGGGGCGUCAGUAUUCAAUUGUCAGAGGUGAAAUUCUUGGAUUUAUUGAAGACUAACUACUGCGAAAGCAUUCGCCAAGGAUGUUUUCAUUAAUCAGUGAACGAAAGUUAGGGGAUCGAAGACGAUCAGAUACCGUCGUAGUCUUAACCAUAAACUAUGCCGACUAGGGAUCGGACGGUGGUUUUUUUAUGCCCCGUUCGGCACCUUACGAG